rnacentral:lncRNA from 1 species
UCAGAGAGCUCCCUUGCCCCUUCCGCCACGUGAGGACGCAGCCGUGAGAAGAUGCCCAUCCAGGAACCUGGACGCGGGCUCUCACCAGACAGCAGUCUGCCCGCUCCUUGAUCGGGGACAUUCCAGCCUCCAGAAAUGUGAGGAAUAAAUGUUUGUUCUUUAAGCCCCCAGCCUGUGGUGUUCUCGUGAGAGCAGCCAGAACGGACUCAGACGGAGCUGUUAAUUUCUUGACUGUGGCGGGGAUUUCACGGGUAAAUACGGUCUUGAGAGCCGUGAAAGACUGAAGCACCGUCUCUGAGGUGGAGGCAUCGCUGGAUCCAGCUCCUCAUCCGCUGUCCACGUCAGCAUGCUUUGCCAUGUCACUCUGCGUGCCCUCCCUCUGGGGAUGGGCAGCUGUCUCAGCCCUCGACAGAAGGCAUGCGGCUCCCCCAUGUGACUUGCUUUUGGGGGCGGGACGUCAGCAGAUGUGAAGCUAUGCGCUGUGGAUCAGGCUGUGCCCCAGGGCUGCCUUCUGAGUCUCUCAGGGCUGUUGCUGUGAGAACGCGCCCGGCCUGGCCUCCUAGAGGAUGAGAGAUACCUGGAGCAGAGCCACUUUGCUUUGGUCACCCCGGUCAAGGUCAGCCGACAUCGGCCAAUAACCGCGGAAUCUCCCAGACAUGUGAACAAGUCCAGCCAAGGCCAGGUGGUGGCGAUAGACGACAGAUUCUCGCCCUAUCAGAAGGAACAGUCUGGGGUUAUCUGGGAAGGCUUCUUGGAGGAGUUCAGGGCCCCACACAGCCAGAGGGCCCGUGAUGUUGGGUGCAUCCGGAGAGAGGGCCAGAGUGUGAGGGGACAGAUGAGAAGCCAGGCCGUGGAGGUGCAGGUAAGGGUCCUGGGGUGUUCCCUGUGGAGAAGAGAAGGGGGUCCUUCUGGGAGGGUAGGGAGUGGGUUGCACAUGGAAGCCCCCGAGUGUGGCCACAGCCCACAAGGAGGUGGCUGUGGACAAGUGGACGGGACAGAAUGGAACUCAAGUCCAGGGACCCCCCCAUGUGACCUUGGACCACAGAGGGCAUCAAGAGAGUGAGGACUGCCCAGUGAUGGGGGCUCUGGAUUGCCCAGGACGUGCUUCUCUAACUUAUAAACGAGCCUGG